rfam:Picea glauca, whole genome shotgun sequence.
ACAAGCCUACAACAUAGCGUUAAUGCACCGGAUCCCAUUAGAACUCCACAGUUAAGCGUGCUUAUGCUAGAGUAGUACUGGGAUGGGUGAUCGCCUGGGAAGUACUAGUGUUAUGCCUAUG